CAACUUUCAGCAACGGAUCUCUUGGCUCUCGCAUCGAUGAAGAACGCAGCGAAAUGCGAUAAGUAAUGUGAAUUGCAGAAUUCAGUGAAUCAUCGAAUCUUUGAA
rnacentral:rRNA from 1 species